UGGGGAAUAUUGCACAAUGGACGAAAGUCUGAUGCAGCGACGCCGCGUGGAGGAUGAAGGUCUGCGGAUUGUAAACUUCUGUUAAGCGAGAGAAAAGAGCUGUGGUGAAUAGCUACAGAAGAUGAUAGUAUCGCUAAAGAAAGCCCCGGCUAACUUCGUGCCAGCAGCCGCGGUAAGACGAGGGGGGCAAGCGUUAUUCGGAAUUACUGGGCGUAAAGAGCGUGUAGGUGGUUGUAUAAGUCAAUGGUUAAAUCUCAUGGCCUAACUGUGAGGCGGCUGUUGAAACUGUAUGACUAGAGUGUGGAAGAGAGAAGUGGAAUUCUCGGAGUAGCGGUAAAAUGCGUGGAUCUCGAGAGGAACACCAAUGGCGAAGGCAGCUUCUUGGUCCAAGACUGACACU
rnacentral:rRNA from 1 species